ACUCACCUUCAGACUGAUCUCCCAUUGCUGACCUCGCAUGACUCUGACCUACCUGCCUUGUUGUAAUCCUGGAAGUCACCUUAGCCCUCUGUCCCUGCAAAGAAAGUCUACUGCCUGGUUUCUGUUGGCCUCCCACAUGGGCUGUUUGGUGUCUUCCAACGACGUCUCCACAGUGUCCUUCCUGCUCCCCUUGCAGUCUCUCUGCCUCCCAUUAAACUGCAGUGUUGCUCCUGAAAUGAAAGUGUUGGUCUCAGCUGUGGAGUCCUGCAGACCUGUGGGGCUUCAGCUUCAGGCCGCUCAGUUCUCUGCGUAUCCUCCACUGCGUGAUCACCAAUACAUCCUCAUGAGCUUGAGCACUUCCUGCAGCCACUGACCCAUCAGACAAAAUUUUCCAGUGGCAGGUUCUGACCCGCGGCGGUUGGAGCUGGGUGUCGUGCCUGGACCCUCAUUACUGCGAUUUUUGAGAAGCUGCAAAGUCCACACUGAAGUCAGAGCUUUGAUGUACUUUGAACCUAGUGGGGGUUCAGAUUGGAAACCUCCAAAAAGUACACUGCUGCAUAACUAAAGUUCCCAAUGGUGGCGGAAACCAGUCAUCAGUUUUUAAUGACUCAGGUGAGAGGGAAUCUCCACAGUGCACACUGUAAAUCACUGAAAAAAUGGCAUUCAUUAACUGUAAUGGUAAAUCCCUUUGCAAUAUGUAUUUGUGACUUUUAUCUGAGACCACACAAAAACAAGAAAACC